AUUAAGCAUAUCAAUAAGCGGAGGAAAAGAAACUAACAAGGAUUCCCUCAGUAACGGCGAGUGAAGAGGGAAGAGCUCAGUUUUGAAAUCUGGCAGUCAUUCACUGUCCGAGUUGUAAAUUGAAGAGAUUGUCAUCCACACUGGACCAUGUCUAAAUUGUAAUGAUCCACAGUCCUUUGAUGGAGUAUCAGAGAGGGUAAUAAUCCCGUCUUUAACGUGGACUCCCAGUGUUUAUGUGAUGCAUUCUCUCAGAGUCGAGUAGUUUGGGAAUGCUGCUCUAAUGGGAGGUAAACUCCUUCUAAAGCUAAAUAUUGGCGAGAGACCGAUAGCGAACAAGUACCGUGAGGGAAAGAUGAAAAGAACUCUGAAAAGAGAGUCAAACAGAACGUGAAAUUGCUGAAAGGGAAGCGUUUGGAGUCAGAUGCGUCUUCAUGGAAUAACGGCUUCUGCAAAGAGGUCAGUGACUUGAAGAUGGGCCAGCACUCACGUAGACCAUUGGAAAAGGGGUCAUUGGAAUGUAGCUCACUUGUUGAGUGAUUAUAGCCUUGAUUCAUAUACAAUGUGUGUUAUGUGAGAUAGACAGCACGACUCACUCAGUCAGUGCUUGCUUGAUUGGCAUAAUGGCUCUAAGCGACCCGUCUUG
rnacentral:rRNA from 1 species